rnacentral:rRNA from 1 species
AUGCAUAGCAUGUGGUGGCGCAGUGGAGCUCGCGAUCAUGCAACACUUCGUUGGCAUUAUCAUCAUCUUCCUCAAGCUAACCAAGACGACGAGGCUACUCCCGGACUUCACCAAGGCGUGGAAGAUGAGGGCGUGUCGAUGGGGCUGCCGGCGCACAGCCCAUUGGCCUCCUUUGUGGUGGCUACCCUUGGUAAUGAGACCGACGACGUCUACUUCGUCAAGCUUGAGUCCCGGAGGCGCAGAGCUCGCAAGGAUUCCGCCGUGUGCCGCGGAGGAUGCCUUCACCGUGCCGCAGCGGAUCGCGGCGUGGAUUUCGCCAAGAUGACGCCAAUGUCAACUUCAUCAAGCCGGCGCUAUGGAUGA